AGAGUUUGAUCCUGGCUCAGAUUGAACGCUGGCGGCAGGCUUAACACAUGCAAGUCGAGCGGUAACAUUUCUAGCUUGCUAGAAGAUGACGAGCGGCGGACGGGUGAGUAAUGCUUGGGAAUAUGCCUUUGAGUGGGGGACAACAGUUGGAAACGACUGCUAAUACCGCAUAACGUCUACGGACCAAAGGGGGGGAUCUUCGGACCUCUCGCUCAUUGAUUAGCCCAAGUGAGAUUAGCUAGUUGGUAAGGUAAUGGCUUACCAAGGCGACGAUCUCUAGCUGGUUUGAGGGGAUGAUCAGCCACACUGGGACUGAGACACGGCCCAGACUCCUACGGGAGGCAGCAGUGGGGAAUAUUGCACAAUGGGCGAAAGCCUGAUGCAGCCAUGCCGCGUGUGUGAAGAAGGCCUUCGGGUUGUAAAGCACUUUCAGUUGUGAGGAAAGGGGUGUAGUUAAUAGCUGCAUCCUGUGACGUUAACAACAGAAGAAGCACCGGCUAACU
rnacentral:rRNA from 1 species